CAGUCGCCACGGGAAUACGAAGGGGGCUAGCGUUGCUCGGAAUGACUGGGCGUAAAGGGCGCGUAGGCGGAUGGCACAGUCAGAUGUGAAAUUCCCGGGCUUAACCUGGAGGCUGCAUUUGAUACGUGUUGUCUAGAGUGAGGAAGAGGGUUGUGGAAUUCCCAGUGUAGAGGUGAAAUUCGUAGAUAUUGGGAAGAACACCGGUGGCGAAGGCGGCAACCUGGUCCUUGACUGACGCUGAGGCGCGAAAGCGUGGGGAGCAAACAGGAUUAGAUACCCCUGUAGUCCCUGUCUCUUAUAC
rnacentral:rRNA from 1 species